rnacentral:rRNA from 1 species
AGCGAACGCUGGCGGCAGGCCUAACACAUGCAAGUCGAACGAACCUUUCGGGGUUAGUGGCGGACGGGUGAGUAACACGUGGGAACGUGCCUUUAGGUUCGGAAUAACUCAGGGAAACUUGUGCUAAUACCGAAUGUGCUCUUCGGGGGGAAGAUUAAUCGCCUUUAGAGCGGCCCGCGUCUGAUUAGCUAGUUGGUUGAGGUAAUGGCUCACCAAGGCGACGAUCAGUAGCUGGUCUGAGAGGAUGAUCAGCCACAUUGGGACUGAGACACGGCCCAAACUCCUACGGGAGGCAGCAGUGGGGAAUCUUGCGCAAUGGGCGAAAGCCUGACGCAGCCAUGCCGCGUGAAUGAUGAAGGUCUUAGGAUUGUAAAAUUCUUUCAACGGGGACGAUAAUGACGGUACCCGGAGAAGAAGCCCCGGCUAACUUCGUG